AAUGCAGCAAAAUAAUCGGAGGAAAAGGAAAAAUGGAUCAAAGAAGAGCAGGUUUUACUCCUGCUUCUGUGCCCUGGCAGUUCUACUUUUUUUUUGUCAGCAUCUGUUCUUUGUCAUUCCUU
rnacentral:ribozyme from 1 species